UACGGAGGGUGCAAGCGUUAAUCGGAAUAACUGGGCGUAAAGCGCACGCAGGCGGUUGGAUAAGUCAGAUGUGAAAGCCCCGGGCUCAACCUGGGAACUGCAUUUGAAACUGUCUGACUAGAGUCUUGUAGAGGGGGGUAGAAUUCCAGGAGUAGCGGUGAAAUGCGUAGAGAUCUGGAGGAAUACCGGUGGCGAAGGCGGCCCCCUGGACAAAGACUGACGCUCAGGUGCGAAAGCGUGGGGAGCAAACAGG
rnacentral:rRNA from 1 species